rnacentral:tRNA from 1 species
GCCACAUUCGUCUAGUGGUCUAGGAUAUCAGAUUCUCAUUCUGAGGACCGCGGGUUCGAAUCCCGCAUGUGGUA